rnacentral:rRNA from 1 species
UGGGGAAUAUUGCACAAUGGAGGGAACUCUGAUGCAGCGACGCCGCGUGAACGAAGAAGGCUUGCGAGUCGUAAAGUUCUUUUAUAUGGGAAGAUAAUGACGGUACCAUAAGAAGAAGCCCCGGCUAACUACGUGCCAGCAGCCGCGGUAAUACGUAGGGGGCUAGCGUUGUCCGGAAUCACUGGGCGUAAAGGGUUCGCAGGCGGAAAUGCAAGUCAGGUGUAAAAGGCAGUAGCUUAACUACUGUAAGCAUUUGAAACUGCAUAUCUUGAGAAGAGUAGAGGUAAGUGGGAUUUUUAGUGUAGCGGUGAAAUGCGUAGAUAUUAAAAAGAAUACCGGUGGCGAAAGCGACUUACUGGGAUCAUUCUGCCGCUGAGGAACGAAAGCGUGGGUAGCAAACAGG